GACGAACGCUGGCGGCGUGCCUAACACAUGCAAGUCGAACGGAAAGGCCCUGCUUUUGUGCGGUGCUCGAGUGGCGAACGGGUGAGUAACACGUGAGUAACCUGUACUUGACCUUGGGAUAACUUCAGGAAACUGGGGCUAUUACCGGAUAGGAGCUCUUGCUGCAUGGUGGGGGUUGGAAAGAUUCGGCGGUUGGGGUUGGACUCGCGGCUUAUCAGCUUGUUGGUGGGGUAGUGGCUUACCAAGGUUUUGAAGGGUAGCCGGCCUGGGAGGGGGAGCGGCCCCACUGCGACUGAGCUACGGCCCAGACUCCUACGGGACGCAGCGGUGGGGAGUGUUGCACAAUGGGCGGGAGCCUGAUGCAGCAACGCCGCGUGCGGGAUGACGGGCUUCGGGUUGUGAACCGCUUUCGCCUGUGACGGGGCGUUAGUGACGGUAAUGGGUAAAGAAGCACCGGCUAACUACGUG
rnacentral:rRNA from 1 species